UGAUGGAGGGGGAUAACUACUGGAAACGGUAGCUAAUACCGCAUAACGUCGCAAGACCAAAGAGGGGGACCUUCGGGCCUCUUGCCAUCGGAUGUGCCCAGAUGGGAUUAGCUAGUAGGUGGGGUAACGGCUCACCUAGGCGACGAUCCCUAGCUGGUCUGAGAGGAUGACCAGCCACACUGGAACUGAGACACGGUCCAGACUCCUACGGGAGGCAGCAGUGGGGAAUAUUGCACAAUGGGCGCAAGCCUGAUGCAGCCAUGCCGCGUGUAUGAAGAAGGCCUUCGGGUUGUAAAGUACUUUCAGCGGGGAGGAAGGGAGUAAAGUUAAUACCUUUGCUCAUUGACGUUACCCGCAGAAGAAGCACCGGCUAACUCCGUGCCAGCAGCCGCGGUAAUACGGAGGGUGCAAGCGUUAAUCGGAAUUACUGGGCGUAAAGCGCACGCAGGCGGUUUGUUAAGUCAGAUGUGAAAUCCCCGGGCUCAACCUGGGAACUGCAUCUGAUACUGGCAAGCUUGAGUCUCGUAGAGGGGGGUAGAAUUCCAGGUGUAGCGGUGAAAUGCGUAGAGAUCUGGAGGAAUACCGGUGGCGAAGGCGGCCCCCUGGACGAAGACUGACGCUCAGGUGCGAAAGCGUGGGGAGCAAACAGGAUUAGAUACCCUGGUAGUCCACGCCGUAAACGAUGUCGACUUGGAGGUUGUGCCCUUGAGGCGUGGCUUCCGGAGCUAACGCGUUAAGUCGACCGCCUGGGGAGUACGGCCGCAAGGUUAAAACUCAAAUGAAUUGACGGGGGCCCGCACAAGCGGUGGAGCAUGUGGUUUAAUUCGAUGCAACGCGAAGAACCUUACCUGGUCUUGACAUCCACGGAAGUUUUCAGAGAUGAGAAUGUGCCUUCGGGAACCGUGAGACAGGUGCUGCAUGGCUGUCGUCAGCUCGUGUUGUGAAAUGUUGGGUUAAGUCCCGCAACGAGCGCAACCCUUAUCCUUUGUUGCCAGCGGUCCGGCCGGGAACUCAAAGGAGACUGCCAGUGAUAACUGGAGGAAGGUGGGGAUGACGUCAAGUCAUCAUGGC
rnacentral:rRNA from 1 species